AUUGAACGCUGGCGGCAGGCCUAACACAUGCAAGUCGAACGGUGGCACAGAGAGCUUGCUCUCGGGUGACGAGUGGCGGACGGGUGAGUAACGUCUGGGAAACUGCCCGAUGGAGGGGGAUAACUACUGGAAACGGUAGCUAAUACCGCAUAACGUCGCAAGACCAAAGUGGGGGACCUUCGGGCCUCACACCAUCGGAUGUGCCCAGAUGGGAUUAGCUAGUAGGUGGGGUAAUGGCUCACCUAGGCGACGAUCCCUAGCUGGUCUGAGAGGAUGACCAGCCACACUGGAACUGAGACACGGUCCAGACUCCUACGGGAGGCAGCAGUGGGGAAUAUUGCACAAUGGGCGCAAGCCUGAUGCAGUCAUGCCGCGUGUAUGAAGAAGGCCUUCGGGUUGUAAAGUACUUUCAGCGGGGAGGAAGGCGGUGAAGUUAAUAACUUCACCGAUUGACGUUACCCGCAGAAGAAGCACCGGCUAACUCCGUGCCAGCAGCCGCAGUAA
rnacentral:rRNA from 1 species